UACGGAGGGUGCAAGCGUUGUCCGGAAUCACUGGGCGUAAAGGGCGCGUAGGCGGCGUGUUAAGUCAGCUGUGAGAUCUCCAAGCUUAACUUGGAACGGUCAGCUGAUACUGAUGUGCUAGAGUGCAGAAGGGGCAACCGGAAUUCUUGGUGUAGCGGUGAAAUGCGUAGAUAUCAGGAGGAACACCUGAGGUGAAGACGGGUUGCUGGGCUGACACUGACGCUGAGGCGCGAAAGCUAGGGUAGCAAACGGG
rnacentral:rRNA from 1 species